AUGGCUGUGGUUCAUCCCCGACCCCGCGGUCCCCUCUGCCGCUGCACCGCUCCGCCCCGCCCGCCCGCCUGCUCUGCCUGCCCGCCUGCUACUGCUGCCUACACCUACACCUACACCUACACCUACACCUACACCCAUCCGUCCGUCCGUCCUCCUCCACUUGACCCGGUGGUACCACUCGCCUCGUCUCGGAGCAGGGCAGCGGAUACCAGGCGGGAGCUAGCCCGCGCACGCCUCUCCUGCGCGCGCGGCGAGGGUACGGCCAUGGCGUACCAGUACCACCACCAGGACCACGCCGCGGCCGCGCUGGGGAUGGACGCCGCGGCGGCGGCGGCGGCGGCCGCGGGGAACCCCGGCGGCGGCGGCUUCGCGCCAGGUUUGGGCGCGGGCGGGUGGGAGAGGGAGAAGGCGGCCAUCGAGGCGCACCCGCUGUACGAGCGGCUGCUGGAGGCGCACGUCGCCUGCCUGCGCGUCGCCACCCCCGUCGACCAGCUGCCCCGCAUCGACGCGCAGAUCGCCGCGCGCGCCCCGCCGCCCAUGCCCCCCGCCGCCGCGCCCGCGGGCGGCGAGGAGCUCGACCUCUUCAUGACACACUAUGUGCUGCUCCUCUGUUCCUUCAAGGAGCAGCUCCAGCAGCAUGUGCGCGUCCACGCCAUGGAGGCGGUGAUGGCCUGCUGGGAGCUCGAGCAGACUUUGCAGAGUCUUACAGGGGCAUCUCCUGGCGAAGGCACCGGGGCGACUAUGUCUGAUGAUGAAGACAACCCGGUCGACAGCGAGAGCAACAUGUUUGACGGAAACGAUGUGUCAGAUGGCAUGGGCUUCGGAAUGCUAACCGAGGGUGAGAGAUCCUUGGUCGAGCGCGUGAGGCAAGAGCUGAAGCAUGAGCUUAAACAGGGGUACAGAGAAAAGCUUGUGGACAUCAGGGAGGAGAUACUGCGGAAGCGGAGAGCCGGUAAGCUCCCAGGAGACACGGCGUCCACUCUGAAGGCGUGGUGGCAAGCCCACGCCAAAUGGCCGUACCCAACUGAGGAGGACAAGGCGCGGCUGGUGCAGGAGACGGGGCUGCAGCUGAAGCAGAUAAACAACUGGUUCAUCAACCAGCGCAAGCGGAACUGGCACAGCAACCCUACCUCGUCCUCGUCGGACAAGAGCAAGAGAAAAAGGAACAAUGCAGGUGACGGCAACGCCGAGCAGUCCUGGUAG
rnacentral:rRNA from 1 species